GAUGAACGCUGGCGGCGUGCCUAAUACAUGCAAGUAGAACGCUGAAGGAGGAGCUUGCUCUUCUGGAUGAGUUGCGAACGGGUGAGUAACGCGUAGGUAACCUGCCUGGUAGCGGGGGAUAACUAUUGGAAACGAUAGCUAAUACCGCAUGACAACAGUUAUUGCAUGAUAACUGUUUAAAAGGGGCAACUGCUCCACUACCAGAUGGACCUGCGUUGUAUUAGCUAGUUGGUGAGGUAACGGCUCACCAAGGCCACGAUACAUAGCCGACCUGAGAGGGGGAUCGGCCACACUGGGACUGAGACCCGGCCCAGAAUCCUACGGGAGGGAGCAGUAGGGAAUCUUCGGCAAUGGGCGGAAGUCUGACCGAGCAACGCCGCGUGAGUGAAGAAGGGUUUCGGAUCGUAAAGCUCUGUUGUAAGAGAAGAACGAGUGUGAGAGUGGAAAGUUCACACUGUGACGGUAUCUUACCAGAAAGGGACGGCUAACUACGUG
rnacentral:rRNA from 1 species